GAUGAACGCUGGCGGCGUGCCUAAUACAUGCAAGUCGAGCGAACAGAUGAGGAGCUUGCUCCUCUGACGUUAGCGGCGGACGGGUGAGUAACACGUGGAUAACCUACCUAUAAGACUGGGAUAACUUCGGGAAACCGGAGCUAAUACCGGAUAAUAUAUUGAACCGCAUGGUUCAAUAGUGAAAGACGGUUUUGCUGUCACUUAUAGAUGGAUCCGCGCCGCAUUAGCUAGUUGGUAAGGUAACGGCUUACCAAGGCAACGAUGCGUAGCCGACCUGAGAGGGUGAUCGGCCACACGGGAACUGAGACACGGUCCAGACUCCUACGGGAGGCAGCAGUAGGGAAUCUUCCGCAAUGGGCGAAAGCCUGACGGAGCAACGCCGCGUGAGUGAUGAAGGUCUUCGGAUCGUAAAACUCCGUUAUUGGGGAAGAACAAAUGUGUAAGUAACUAUGCACGUCUUGACGGUACCUAAUCAGAAAGCCACGGCUAACUACGUG
rnacentral:rRNA from 1 species